rnacentral:rRNA from 1 species
AUUGAACGCUGGCGGCAGGCCUAACACAUGCAAGUCGAACGAGUGGCGGACGGGUGAGUAAUGUCUGGGAAACUGCCUGAUGGAGGGGGAUAACUACUGGAAACGGUAGCUAAUACCGCAUACCAUCGGAUGUGCCCAGAUGUGAUUAGCUAGGAGGUGGGGUAAAGGCUCACCUAGGCGACGAUCCCUAGCUGGUCUGAGAGGAUGACCAGCAACCAUGGAACUGAGACACGGUCCAGACUCCUACGGGAGGCAGAAGUGGGGAAUAUUGCACAAUGGGCGAAAGCCUGAUGCAGCCAUGCCGCGUGUAGGAAGAAGGCCUUCGGGUUGUAAAGUACGUUCAGCGGGGAGGCGUUACCCGAAGAAGAAGCACCGGCUAACUCCGUGCCAGCAGCCGCGGUAAUUC